CCCCGGGUUCGGGUCACAGAGGCUGCGGAUGGCUCGGCCUGGACUGCGUUUUGGCUGCGAAAGGCACGUUUGCCCCCUCCGUGCGGGGCAGUGAAAGCUGGGCGCCCACACUCACGACGUCCACACGUACAGGAACAAGCAACCUACACCUCGCCAGUGGGCGUCCCCACGCGUGUUAGCCAUCCCCCGCGUCAUCCACAUUUGUGUCUGCCACUCCGUGUAAACACGAGUCCAGAUUUGCACCUGGAUGGGCCGAUUAGCUUCUGGCAGCCACACCUACCCGGGCUCUGGAAGACUUGGCGUGCGUGCAAAAGAUAGAGCUUGCUUUCCGUGGAGCGCUUCGGCAGCGCCCGAUCUGCACAAGUUUUGACGUUGGCCAGUGUAAACAACCAGUGCCCAAGGGCCUGUGUACACAGGCCUGCUGCAGAUUCCUUGCUAGGAGCUGCUGCAGGGUGUGCAGAAACCGGCUGUGCCUGGCCGUACUCGCGGAAGCCAGUGUUUUCUGCCAGGUGUACAUCGCUGGCGUGCAGGGUUUGGAGGGAAGAUUCUACACACUGAAGCUUGUCUGUUUAGUGCUGAAAUAGUGUCUGGAUUGUGGAGGCAAACUGGCCACUACUGUCCCACGGCAAAAGUGAAACAAAACAAAAAGCCAGACAGGCCACAUUCCACAGCAGAACAGAAAUCCAUUUGUUCGGUGGCUGCCGCAGACCCCUCUUGGGUUCAAGCCCCGGCUCUGACGUUUACUCCCGGAAGGGUGGACCAUGGUGAGGGUGAAGUUACCCGAAGCCCGGGAGUCCCGCCCUGUGUGCAGCAGGCGCUCAGACACCGCUACUUGUUGAAAUCUCCCCCAGCUCUGGGCGGCUCGGCGACGGUGACAUACGGCGAUACUGCUUCUUUGUGAGCUCUGUGGGAACGUAAGUGUUAUUUUGUGCUGUGACAUAGCUCGGGACAGGUGAACGUGAGUCAGAGUGGAUGUCUAGUCCACCUGGUGACGACAUUCCUGACCCUCGGCUGUGACUCUUCCUGCAAAGCUCAAAUAUGUAGCUCUCAAAGCCACCAGGAAGCAGUUUCUGUCAAAGCAGCUGCAUCUAGCCCUGAGGACAAGGGCGCUGCAAGCACAAAAGAACCGUCAGACACUUGGGCUGCCUCUGCCCCAUCCUCCUGUAGUACUCCUGCGGCUUCUCUUCCUGUGUGGAUCUGAUUUCCAAGCUUCUCGUAGCACAUCUGUCACCUCAUCUGAAGAAUGUUUCUGCUUCAACCCUGGAGGAAAAAUCAAACAGAAAAUGACCAAAAGCCAACACCUGGGCUACUCCCAGGUUUUACAAUCAUGUGCUACAGAAAGUACUAAAAUAAUUCAACAAGAGGAAGGGACACGUGAUUGAAAGCAGAAGAAAGAAAAGAAUUUGGUGAAUCCACGACCUAGAAACUAGCCACCAAGUGCUCGCUUACGGAGUGCAGACCUUCUGCUCGCCUUGCUGUGAGCCUAAAACUGCCCUGCAAGAUGACGCCUCUAAAGACGCAUAACCACAACUUUUUGGGAGACUUUUUUCCUUUUGUUGUGGCAGAUAAGGCAGGUGUAAGUCACAGACCAAUUCGGUGCUGGAUCGAGCUUCCUGAGCACGAGGCCAGUUCCUCCCUUUCUGCUGCGCGCGGAGUUCAUACCCAGUUGGAGGUCACUUCUCACUCCAGUUGCGAAUAUUCCCACAGUCAGACACCGCCUGGACCCUGAGCCCGGGGAACCACAGCUCUGUCCUGGAAAGGAGAAGAGGAGAGUGAGCGCCAGCUGUGAAGACAGCGCUUUGGGGAGUGGGGGGGGGCAAGGAGCACCCAUGGAGGCCAGGAGGUGACAGGCGGCUCAGUCCCCGGACAGGACCUCCAUCCCUCUGCUGAGCCCACCUGCGGCCACCAGGAGCUCAUCCCUUUACGUGCCACCCCAUAAAAAUUUAGGUCCCCAUUUUUAAUGCACGUAGAUAUUCAUUGGGUGGGGAAGAGCUUCCAAAAUGAGAGGCAAAACUCAGAAGACAUAAGGAAAAAUUGCUCCUGAUGUGACACUUGCUGGACAGGGCCGUCUCUGCAUGAGAGGCUCGCGGUGGAGCCAGCACGCACACCUGCUGGGUGCGUGACACGCAUGGGAGGUGGCUAAAGGACACCUGUCACUCUGGGGGGGGGCAGGUUGGGAAACGCCCCUGAUUUAGCCCGUGUGCACUCAGUGUCAGAUUUGUUUAACAGAGGGAGUGUAUUAGUGUCAUUUCACACUUCCAUCUAAUGAGGCAAGGUGUGGUGGAAAAUCAUGGUGAAUGCGUGCAUUAAAAAAAAUUAUUACAGUCAAAGACCCAUUGCCACGAAUCCCCCCACCUGGAACACACUCGUGCCUGCCCCUGCAAGCUCUUACAGUUUAUGCACAGGGACAAGACACACUUGUCACGACCAGGCGAAGUACCAGACAGCACAUCCCUGAGUCCAACCUGGAAGGGACUGGUGUGGUGCUGUACAGUGACAAAGGCUCUCCCGCUUGGCUCUGGUGCACUGGAAUCCUCCUUGCUUGCCAGUAUCUAGACGGCUCUCCAACUGUUAGCUUAGAUCAAUAUCAAAAUCUCCUGGAGAGCGUGGUCGACAGCCUCAGCUUUCUGACCGGUAGGCAGAGCCUACGUAUUUGCAUCUACAAGCUCCCCCUACAGCUGUGGCUGGUGUCACUGAGUACCCCAGUUCUCUGUUCCUCAGACUGUGGGCUCCACAACAGGAGCUGGCUUAUUUAUCCUUGUGAUCCCGUGUUCUAACCCACCAUUUGUCCCUGAAUGUGUGGUAUGAUAAAAAAUACAAUGAAUACUUAAAAAAUUUUUUUAAAUGUGUAAUAUCCACUUUAUUCACCAGACCUGGGAUCAUGCAACUUCUAGCUCUUCCUCAGAAUGGAAAUGACCGUGAGGAAGUAAAUAUUUUCAGAGAUAUUGGAACAGCCAUGAAAAGACAUCCGUGAAAGAGGACUUCCUGAAGUGCUUCAGAGCGUGGCAAGAAUGAUUGGAUGGAGCUGGGCAUGGUGGCACACACCUGUAAUCCCAACACUUGGGAGGCUGAGGCA